AAUCUCACUUCCUGAUUUUCCUCAGAGACCCCUGGAGGCUUUGACGGACGGAGGGGAAGCAAACCCGAGGCCGGGGAGGAGAAAGAAGCUGGGCGCAAUCGCUGGGGGGAGCCCUGAGAAGAGGUCAAGUACCAUAAACAAGGCAAGAAACAUAAAAUUAUGGGCAAGACAGAAGGGCAAGACAGCAUCCUGUCAGGAAGAAUCUCACAGGCCAUUGGCCCCAGUCAUCUAAGAAUACCACAAGCCUAUUGUAGAGGAGGCCGACAGAUCACUUCAAAAGACCCCGCUGCCCCAGAAGGAAAUCUCAGUAGGAUCUUCUUCCAUCCAGCUGUUGACUACUAAUGGUGUCUUCACCAAUCCAAUGAUGGUGAUUUAAAAUGUCAAGAGUCUUUUAAGGGUUCUAGUGACUUCAGAAUCCAGAGGAUCGAUCAGCGCUGGAGGGAGAGGCGGUAUUUCACCAUCCACUGCCUAUGGACACUCACUUCCUCGACCAUUAAGUUGGCUCCCAUUGACACAGCAGUCAGCAACUCUGAAGGCCGCAGGCUACUCACUUGCUGAUGAUGUUCAUGCUGGUGUGUCUGCCCUACUAACUCCAAUGAUGAAUAAUUUAGCAUUGAUAUACAGCAAUGAUGUAACACGUUGGAGGAGCCCAAAAGAACAUUAAUAAGUAAUACCAAAGUGACUGGUAUACUUUGGAUGCCCAAAGAGUAAUGCAGUAGAAAGAACAAUAGACCAAGAGGGAGAGGAUCGAGAUUCAAGACCCUGGAUUCCCAGUCCAUUUCCAUGUAAAUAUAUUAUCUUGGGUAAGUCUCUUAAUUCCUCUGAGACUCAAGUUUCCUCCUCAACCAAUAAAAUGAGUGAAUCUAAAAAGUUGCCAAGAUCUAUUCUAGCUCUGAUUUUAUGAUCUGUGCCCUUAUCAUCAUUACUUUGUUUUUUUCAAUACCAUUGACAUAAUCAAUAAAUUACUCAAGAAAUAUUUAUCAGGUGCCUACUCUGGGCCAGACUCUCUGCUAAGCAAUGAAUAUACAACUUCAACUAAAGAAAUACAAAUGCAGUGGUAGUAUUCCCCAUUCACUCUCCACCCCAGGAGCUAUUUUUUCCAACUCAGAAGGCAUUUUUGCGGAAGCCUGGGAUCCUUAGGGGGUUUGUUGAUUUCUACUCACCCUGUGUUGUAAAGGAAGCUUUUAAUAUUUUAGGACCUGAGCUCCAGUAGGAGUCCUAUUGUUAAAAAAGUAUUUACUCAGAAGAUAUAAGAUCAAGAGGCAGCUAGAUGGUGUAGU